rnacentral:tRNA from 1 species
GGGGUUGUGGCUCACUGGUAGAGUGCUCACCUAGCAUGUGUGAGGCCCUGGGUUUGAUCCUCAGCACCACA